rnacentral:rRNA from 1 species
CCUACGGGAGGCAGCAGUGAGGAAUAUUGGUCAAUGGACGCAAGUCUGAACCAGCCAUGCCGCGUGAAGGAAGACUGCUCUAUGAGUUGUAAACUGCUUUUGUACGGGGGUAAACUCAGAUACGCGUACCUUUCUGAAAGUAUCUUACGAAUAAGGAUCGGCUAACUCCGUGCCAGCAGCCGCGGUAAUCCGGAGGAUUCAAGCGUUAUCCGGAUUUAUUGGGUUUAAAGGGUGCGUAGGCGGGCGGAUAAGUUAGAGGUGAAAUCCCGCGGCUCAACUUCGGAAUUGCCACUGAUACUGGUAGGCUAGAGAGUAGUUGCGGUAGGCGGAAGGUAUGGUGUAGCGGUGAAAUGCUUAGAGAUCAUACAGAACACCGAUUGCGAAGGCAGCUUACCAAGCUACUUCUGACGUUGAGGCACGAAAGCGUGGGGAGCAAACAGGAUUAGAUACCCGGGUAGUC